rnacentral:lncRNA from 1 species
GCUCAGUAGCUGAAUCCCACUGCCUCCACCUGCGACAGAGCAGAUCGUCUCAAAAAAAGAAAAAAAAAAAAAAAAGUUCUUCUACCAAAAUGUCUACACCACGUUGAAUUUUUUGUGUUUCCUUUGUUUUUAGUUCCUGGGGAGUUUUACUUGGAAAAAAAAGCCUCUGGGGACUAGAUAAGGAAGGAAACCUUCCUGUGGACCCUCUUGAGCUCUGUUUUCUUUCCUGGCCUCACUGGUGUGAGCCCACUGACUGCCCUGCUGAUCUCUUGCUUUACUGGAUUUGGGUGAGGACUGAGGAGAGGGACAGGAGGGUAUUCACUGGACACUAUUCAGACUAAAGGAUUAGAUGUCCCAGCUGAAUCUCCCCAAGCCCCACGUCUGCGGCAAAGUCUUCGUGGUGAAACAGGCAGUCUUCAGUAUGAGACGCAUCGAUCUCAGAUCUUAUUCAAUUCCAACUUGUACCAAUCAAAGGCCCUCCCAGCGAAAAUAAAAGCAAAGUCUCCUUCCUCCGGAGCACAUGGGAAUGGCCCCCCAAUAGCUGGGGCAUGCAAGCUGAUGAAGUUUCAUCUUCCACCUCUUACCCAAAUAUGACCUUGCUGAUACCAUCUCCUAUUAGAUGACAAAUCCGGAUGUUUCUAUUGCAUGGUUGUUAUUUGCCACAUGCUUCCUGGACAAGUUUCUAGGUAACCUUAAUGUCUGUGCUGCUGGGGAAGGAGGAGUAGAAAAUAACUCACCUCUUCAGUAAGUGGUUUUAAAAAUAUAACAGUGUUUAAAAGCUUUUAGAGAGCAGCUCUCCUUCCGGCUGCUCCAGCUCUGUUUGCUUUGUGAUAGGAGCCCCCGUAACGC